rnacentral:siRNA from 1 species
UGAGGUGUCAAGCUGUGGUUA